GAGGGUAUAGCUCAGUGGUAGCGUGUGUGCUUAGCAUGCAUGAGGUCAUGGGUUCAGUCCCUACUACGCUCA
rnacentral:tRNA from 1 species